GCAGGCUCUUCUUCGUCGCCAUUCCGGGUCAGUUGGUACUGGCUGCCUCGAAUUGAGCAGUCACGACGCUGAAGCUGUGUACCCACCAUGAUCUGACACAGGAGAACGAUGUCAUCAUCACACUAGAUUUUUCUGCUUACUCCACAUCUGUAUUUAAAGCAAUCCGAAGUGGACGUCUGGUGUCCCUGCCUCGCCGCAAUCCUCUGCCCCUCCUCCCACCCCGGGAAUGGUGAUUACCAGUCACGCAUCCAGCCUCUAUGAUUCCGGUUGUGUUCCCAAUUCAGUGACCGUGACUCUGAACCACAAAGGCUAGGUAGACCAGGCUCACUCUGCAGGCCGGGGAAAGAAGCAAGGAGACAGCUAGGGGACUGCUACAGACAUGAGGCCUCGUUUCCUGGGUAGGAAAGCAGUGAGCAAGAAGCGGUGGAGACAGAAGAACAUGGAGCCGAAGGGGGCCAAGAAAGAAGCUAGCUGGGCAUGACGGUACACACUUGUCACCCAAGCAGGAGAAAGGCUGUGGCAGGAAGAUCUCAGCCUGGGAAUCACUGCAGAAUGGUCACGCGAUGCCUAUGUCUGAAGUCUGAAAAGUUUCCUAAACUAAAAUCUAGAAAAAUCUCCUGCUCUGGUACCUUUUAUUCUGCACACAAGAAUUAGGUACUUUGGGCCACAUGGGAAAUCUGAAAGCGCCAGGCUAAACCAACGACUAUAAGCCCACGUGCUUCUCCGGGAACCUCUCAGCUGAAGAAACUUAACACUAAGAACUCAAGUCCACUGGUUGUUCAGGCCCAAGAGUCCCUUCAAUGCUGUCUUCUGAAAGUCUGGAAAGUUCUUCAUCACUGAACUCUGGCAGAAUUUCCUACCAAGGUUUGUCUGGGUCUUUGUAAUCUCUCUCUCUCUCUUUCUCUCUUUCUCUCUCUCUCUCUCUCUCUCUCUCUCUCUCUCUCUCUCUCUCUCUCUCUCUCUCUCUCAUUUAGUCCUGCUAGUAUUACUAGUGUGAACUCCACUUGGCUUUGGUCUCUUAUUCCCUCCUAACCUCUCCUUGGAUUGUCCUAAGAACUCAUUUUGGUGCUGAGGAAACCCACCCCAUUCUCUCUGGCAUUGCCCUCCUUGGGCUCCAGGCUCAGAAGAAUAACUAAGUUCUCUAAGGCCUAGGAAACUUGACUCUCCAAAGCAGAAGUCUCUUCCUUCUGAGCUCAUCUUACUUGCUGUCCCAGCCCCCAGGGGCUCAGAACUGUCAUUCUAGACUUCCCUUUCCCUAGGCCCCUGUGCAUCUGCCUCCAAAGGAUCUCUGGGGUCCAUCCUCCUAGUUCUGCCUCUUCUAUACCCAGCCUACCCUAAGCUCCUCAGUCUCCUUCCCAUUUCUUCCUCUUGUCCUCACCCUUAUGAAUUUGGGUCACAUUUCCACCUGAGAAUGAAGUUCUUUGUUAAAGGAAAGUUAGAUCAUAUCUUCCCUGCUUAGAACACUCCAAUAGUUUGGCCUUAUUUUACAUACAUACAUAUAUACAUACAUGCAUACAUGUGUGCAUACAUACAUCCAUGCAUGCAUACACACAUAUAUACAUACAUACAUACAUACAUACAUACAUACAUACAUACAUACAUAUUCUCACCUCAUAGCCCAAGCUAGAUUCAAAUGCAUUGAGCCUCGUGAGUUCUGGGAUUACAGACAUAUACCACAGCACUUACCUCUAUUUCAAGGUCAAGACCAAAUGCUUGAUCGUGGCCUUGAGAACUGGUCCUACCAACCUUUGCAAGCCCAUCUAUUGGCAUCCUCUCCUUGACUCAGAACGGGCAGAAUGUGUUCAUUCCCUAGAGAUGCAGCGGACCACCCUAAAUCCUAGGCCCGAAAGAGACAUAAAUUACCCCAACACCUGUAAGUUCUAAGUGAACUAGGCUCCCUCAGGGGCUCUGAGGGGGCAUCUGACAUCCCGUCAUUCCCAGCUUUCAGACCUGAAAUAAUUAGUUCUUUAACCCUUUUAUGGCCUUCAAGGCCAUCUGCUUCAGCUGUCUCUCUCCCAUAAGAACACAUGUGUGUGACUGAGUGUAGGACCAACCAGGUAACUCAUGGUCACCACCAACCCCAUUUCAUGAAAACCUACAAAGUCCUUUCUGCUAGGGAAGGCUCUAGGGACUAGAACCUGAUGCCUUUGUGGGACUAUUACUCAAACCUGAUGUUCAUUCCAGGACCUUCGCUGCAGGAGUCUUUGUACAAAUAGCUCUAUGGCACGGAAAGCCUCUCUGCCCACUCACUGGUGGCCUGGUCAGCUCCUUCCCACGAAGACGAUAUUCUCGACUCGUGAGAAGAAAGCUCCUUGGGCCUGGUGUCUGUUUAUUUCUAAGUAGCCCAGCUUUCCUUUGAGGAAGUAAUGUGUGCCUCAGAUGGGCAGCACACAAGGAGGAGACAUUUAUUUUGGCUCACAGAUUAAGAGGUUUCUAUCCGUGGCCCUGCCACCGUGCAGCAUGUCAAGGCAGAAAUAUGGCAAUGCAAUCUGUUCACCUCAAGAAGCAAGGAAGGUCAGAAAGGGUCAGAGGUCCUGCUAUCCCUUGAAGGGCACAAUCCCCAGGUGACCUCACUUCUGUCAGGUUCCACUUCCUCUGUUCUACUUCCAACAAGUCGGGCGCCACACCAUCAGCAUACGAGCCUCAGAGGAACAUUUAAAUCCUAGCUAGUUUCCUUCCUCGUAUUUUAAUAGAAAAGUAUUAUUUUAUCCAUGUACUUUCAAUGGACCUGCUUUCUGCCCAUCUGUCCCUCUGCCCUCAUGCCGGUGAUCUGAGGACAAGGACAAUGGCCGUCUGUUCUGACAUAACUAGUUGAUAAAUUAUUACUAAAGAUGAGCUUCCAUCCAAAACCAUGCUGUGCCGAUGGUGUUACAUCCUCUCCUUAGAGAAAGUGGUCUCACCCCUCCUCCCCCUGAUCAUCUGAACCAACAACCAUGCAGGCAGGAACAAAGAGAGCCCAUGGAGAUACUCUCGCACAAACAUCCAGGGAGAUGCCCCAGCAA